rnacentral:lncRNA from 1 species
ACGCAGCGCGGUUGCUGGGCACCUCGACUAUCACCUGACCGUAGUAAUAUCUCCCGCUACGCGCGUUGUGACCAAUGCUGCAUACAGGAGAUGAGGGAGGACGGCCAGACACCUGGAAGCCGGAAAAUGGUGAAAGGCAGGAUUGGGAACCCCACAGACCGCAGCUCCUCCCAGGAGAACCCCACACAUGAGUCUGGAUCCUCGCCAUGAUCCUCCCGUGGCCCCCACACAAUCUGGGGAGACGCGGGGCCGCGGGCACUGCGCUGCCGAGAGGGCUCCGGACUGAGGCUGCAGUUGCUGCGCAGGGACGGCUCAGGAUGCCCGGGGUCCCGGCUGCUGGCCCAGCCCCACCCUGUGGCCGAGGGGACCCAGGGACGAGCUGCGCCAGGGAGACUCGGGUCCGCAGACCCCGGAAUCGCUGCUGACAGGCCCGGGUCCCACCACAGCAGGUCCCAACCAGCCCCUCCUCCCA